rnacentral:rRNA from 1 species
CCUACGGGAGGCAGCAGUGGGGAAUAUUGCACAAUGGGGGAAACCCUGAUGCAGCGACGCCGCGUGAAGGACGAAGUAUUUCGGUACGUAAACUUCUAUCAGCAGGGAAGAAAAUGACGGUACCUGACCAAGAAGCCCCGGCUAACUACGUGCCAGCAGCCGCGGUAAUACGUAGGGGGCAAGCGUUAUCCGGAUUUACUGGGUGUAAAGGGAGCGUAGACGGCCAUGCAAGUCUGAUGUGAAAACCCGGGGCUCAACCCCGGGACUGCAUUGGAAACUGUGCGGCUGGAGUGUCGGAGAGGCAAGUGGAAUUCCUAGUGUAGCGGUGAAAUGCGUAGAUAUUAGGAGGAACACCAGUGGCGAAGGCGGCUUGCUGGACGACGACUGACGUUGAGGCUCGAAAGCGUGGGGAGCAAACAGGAUUAGAUACCC